AUAUUGCAACUGGAGUAAGAAUAUAAUGUAAGGAGCUUGGGAAUGUACAGUUGUGCCGAUGCGUGGUGAACAUGAGGGAGUCAUAUUUGGAGAACCAAGGUUCAUUUUCCAGACACUGAAAGAGCAGAAUGGCUAAAUAAGACUGUAAAACACAUGUGGCCUUUCAUUUGCCAAUUUAUAGAGAAGUUGUUUCGAGAAACUAUAGAACCAGCCGUGCGGGGAGCAAACACCCACCUUAGCACCUUUAGUUUCACGAAGGUCGACGUGGGCCAGCAGCCCCUCAGGAUCAAUGGUGUUAAGGUAUACACUGAAAAUGUAGACAAAAGGCAAAUUAUUUUGGACCUUCAGAUUAGUUUUGUAGGAAAUUGUGAGAUUGAUUUGGAGAUCAAACGAUAUUUUUGUAGAGCUGGUGUGAAAAGUAUCCAGAUUCAUGGUACCAUGCGGGUGAUCCUGGAACCGUUGAUUGGAGAUAUGCCCUUAGUCGGAGCUUUGUCUGUCUUCUUCCUUAGGAAACCACUUUUAGAAAUUAACUGGACAGGACUGACG
rnacentral:sRNA from 1 species